UGAAAAUGGGUCCCACAGACCCGAACACCACACACGGGUUAAGUAUGUAGUAUACAGUAUGCUAGUAUGGGUAUUCGAACUCAGCUUUUGUCUCUCCCGCAUAUCUGGUCGGUCAUUUACCACCCUGUGGUCGAUGGUGUAAUUGCAACAUAUUUUACUGAGUGCAGACGCAAGCACGAGGAAACGGCUAUACCUACAAUGCCUGGAAUGCUACGAAACACCAGAAAUAGUUGUUGUCAUUUCUUUGGCUGUGUGCACAAACGUGAUUUCAGCAUUUAGAAACAUCGCCUAUUGUGUUAUAUCAGUCAGACGUUUAAAAAGUCAAAGUAUAAAUCAUUUCUAUCGUGUUGCAUGAUGGGAAAAUAGUCUGACAGCGAUAUAAUCUAAUAAAACCAAAGUAGUCGCUUUUCCCUCGCUCUGUCCACAACUGCGAUCAUAAACGUCAUUAAACCCGGGAUGGCUUCCUGGAUUCCCCCAAGCAGCUGAUUGGUCUGCCUCAUUGAUGAUUGGAAAGCUGACCCCUCCCCCUCGUCAGGAUACAGCGGUAUCCCAUUACAGACUCCUUCUCCAGCUAUAUAAGCCUGGUUCUGUUGCUCAGAAGAGAAAUGAUGAGUGUGUCCUGUGUUGGUUGUUUCUCAGAGAGAGCUGAUGGUUAUGUUCUGUGUUGGUUGUUGUUUCUCAGAGAGAGCUGAUGGUUAUGUUCUGUGUUGGUUGUUGUUUCUCAGAGAGCUUAUUGGUUAUGUUCUGUGUUGGUUGUUGUUUCUCAGAGAGCUUAUUGGUUAUGUUCUGUGUUGGUUGUUGUUUCUCAGAGAGAGCUGAUGGUUAUGUUCUGUGUUGGUUGUUUCUCAGAGAGCUUAUUGGUUAUGUUCUGUGUUGGUUGUUGUUUCUCAGAGAGAGCUUAUUGGUUAUGUUCUGUGUUGGUUGUUGUUUCUCAGAGAGAGCUUAUUAGUUUGUCCUGUUUUUGCUGAGACAUGUUUUUGUUAAGUACUUUGUAGCCGCUGCUUCUAAGGUAUGUGUCCCCAUAGGACGCAGAGUUUUUGAUUAUUGAAAUUGUUACGUUUGUAUUUUUCUGUUUCAGUUGUUCCCAGGGGGAAGGGGAAGGCACCUAGGGAGUGCUUAGGCAAGAGGCCCGCGGGCAUACAUAACCUGUAGUAUUCACUGUCUAUGCACACUAGGUAAGACCUGUGCGGACCACCCCCUGUAUUUUGGUUAGCGCACCAGGUGGCGCUAAGAUUAGGUAAGUAGUGGGUAUGCAGAUAAGGUAGGAGAGGGGAGCUUUGACAUUUACUUUCUUUGCUUUGGUUCCGUUCAGCCCCUUUUCCCCAAAUUUACCGUUUGAAGGAAGCAAUAAAUUCUGAGUAAACGGUCAAUUCUUUACCUUUGUCAUCCUUACUCGCACCUACAGUCCCAUACCUCUUCCUGGAGGUGUAUGUAACAGCGCCCUAUCUCCGAAACUAAGUAGUCGGCCAGGUUAGUACUUGGAUGGGAAUACUGUGCUGUAAACUUCUCAAUUUGACCAGUAGAGGUAGCUAUAAAGAGUAGUUUUCACAUUUUAUCAGACCAACUGCAUAUUAUUUAUUACGUUAACAGAUAUGUGCAUUCAAUACAUGCCUUUUCUGGUUCCCUUGAUGUUCAAAGCUAAUGAUUUUGUCAUGUUGCCACUGUUUCGCCAAUGGUGGUGCCGAUCUCUUAAACUGUGUUUGACUCAAAUGAACAGGUUUUGGGUAUGUACUAUCGUUGCAGUCCGAACAACAUAUCAGAACUGUUGACUGUAUGAAAUCGAUUGAAUAAUGGAGUAGGAAUAAGAGCAAAGUGUUGGGGUGCCUGUAAGUCACAUCAAAUGUGUACUGAACUGCAGUGCUCCAUUGUUUACACAGCCAUACCACCCAGGGUUGCUGUAUGCUUUUUGGUUUAUAGAUGGCGCCCUUGUACUGUAUUACAUUAUCCCAAGUGAAGAUUAAGAUCAUGUAAAGACCUACCGGUAAUUGGAUGUGUGUAUGUCCAGUUGCUCUACUGAAUGAAGGUACCGUAUUUCUUUACUCAUCCAUGUAUGUUGCGAAGGCUACAUUGUCCCAAUUCCCAAUACGUUAGCCUAAUGCAAUAUGUUCUAAAAGCUUUGUACAAAUUACAAAUCUGCAAUAAUUAGAUCUAGAUCAGUAAUCGGCUCUCUGACAGAAUAAAGGAUGCAGUGUUCUGGUGUCAGGAUGUCAACGGAGUGUAAGCCUACUAAACCUCUGAGGUGCCUCCUGAGUCCAGGCAGGGCAUGGGAAUAGGGUGAGGAAUGCAGGGAAUGUUAAUGAGCCCAGUGGAAGUGCGUCAGCCCGGGUUUAUUAUGAUCACGUAAUGACCUCACUGCAGAGAGAGUGAGACCACCUGACUCUCCAAUGGGCCGUGUUUCAUUCCAAUCAAUUAUCCCCUCAUCACUUCUGCCCUCGCUCACUCCCCUUCAUGAGUUAUUGAAUUGGACUGAAUAGGUGAAAGCAGCUGGAUCCGCCUGUUGAGUAUUACUGCUGUAGUGGUACUCAUGACCUAGACAGAUGUAGGACUGUAGUUGAUAACAUCAGAUAGCAUCGCACUAGGCCUCCGGUCUUGCUCACUUCUUCAUGUUAAUCUGUUGCCAUUGGUUUCCCACUUGUGGGUCUGUGUAUAUGCAUGUCUACAUGAAAAGAGGGAUGGGUGGAGGGAGGGAGGCAGUAGGGGAACAAGCUAAACAACAAAUGUUGCUGAUGGAGGACUUGUGCUGUGCUGACCAUCCCACCAUCAUUCAUGACUGCACAGUGUCCAUCACUGUCAAUCUCUGACCUAGCCUGACCUGUAGACAGUAAUAGUCAUAGCCCUAUUGUAUUACUCCCUUCCUUCCUGUAUGUCAUCACUACACUCUUAGAAGAAGAAAAAGCUAUCAAGAACCUAAAAUUGUUCCUCGGCUGUCCCCAUAGUAUAAGCCUUUGAAGAACCCUUUUUGGUUCCAGGUAAAAUCCCUUUGGUUCCAGGUAGAACCUUUUAGGGUUCUACAUGGAACCCAAAAGGGUUCUACUUGGAACCAAAAAGGGUUCUGUAAGAGUGUACGGCCAGGAGUUUUGUGGCACUUUUUGAGACACUGCGCUUUUACCAGUAUUCCAGCAUGAUCCACUAGGUUUGCUGUAGGCAGAACAUCCUAGGAAAGGUUCUUUAACCCCCUAGCGUCAAUUUCCUCACCCCCGUGGAAAUUGAAUUAGCAUAAUAAAAAUAUCCCCAUUAAAAAUCUGUCAGUUUAAGCUAGAGAUAUUGUGUUUUUUUGCAUUGGAGGCGUCUCAAUCCACUGCGUCAGCUUAUGUCACACUUCCGCAUCUGCGGUGAAAGAGCUAGAGCGUUGUUUGUCAGACCAUGAGACAUCCUGAGAGUCAGUCUUCUCAUCAAAUCGUCUGUAGCGUUCGAACGGUUUGGCCUAGAAACUUUGUGCUACACACUAUGACCCCUCUGUGCAAAGGUGAGACUCUCACAAACAUGUACAUGUUAUUGUUAUUCAAUGCGUUUAUAUGGGCUAAUAACAGUAAGGCCAAAAAUAAUUAUUUAUAAAAAAAAGUUUUAUUUUUUAUUAUUACUUCAAUGGGUUUAAAAAAAAUCUUAAUCAAAUAGCUAAAUGAUCCUUGGUAUGACAUUCUUAAAACAAUUCCAUAUAUCUUAGUAGAACCCCCCCCCCCCACAUGAAAAGAGGGAUGGGUGGAGAAAAGAGGGAUGGGUGGAGGGAGGGAGGCAGUAGGAGAACAAGCUAAACAACAAAUGUUGCUGAUGGAGGACUUGUGCUGUGCUGACCAUCAUCCCAACAUCAUUCAUGACUCUGCACAGUGACCAUCACUGUCCGACUCUGAACCUAGCCUGACCUGUAGACGGUAAUAAUCAUAGCCCUAUUGCAUUAAUCUUUCCCUUCCUUCUUUCCUGUAUGUCAUCACUACACUCUUAGAAAAAAAUACCUUCUUAAAACAAUUCCAUAUAGCUUUGUAGAGAUUUGUCACACUAACCACGUUUCCAUCUACAGAUUUUAUGCGAGUAAACUCAUACAGAACUGUAAAAAAAAUCAUGACAGCUGUGAUGGCAACAGGACGUUUCAGUACAAUUUUAUAAAUGCAGACAUAAUUUGUUAGUUCAACAUGGUGGGAUCUUUUUUGUGAAAAUGUAUAAUGCGUGAAAUGGUGGUGGGAAUGUCUUUAUGCGCAGAUAUUGAUAUAAUAACCAUCAUAUCGAAGUGAACUUGGAGUCACUGAUGCCAUGUUGUGUGGUCCUUAUUCUGGUGACAUGAUGAUCAAUGCUUGACUGCCAGUUGACAUACAAAUAUUCUUGCUUUUAUCCAUGAUACUCGCAUCAUGUAGACUAGCUUACCUGCACAGCCUACUCGCACUGUAGGCCUAUUUGCAAGCUAUUGGCUAGAGCGCACAUGCCAAGACCAGAGUGGGCACAUUUGAUAUUUAACGCAGUAGUUUUUGUGACAAAACUAUUGGUAGAGUUUAAAAUGUAAUGGAAACACAUUGACCUUCAGAUUUUUAUUUGGUGCAUGAAAACUUAUGUACCAAAAAGUACAUUCUGUGUCCACUAUGUCAUAUAUUUUCUUUAUGCAUAUUCUAGAAUGUUCACAUGAAAAUCUGUUGGAUAGAAAUCUAGCUAUAGUGAAAUAUCAGACAGGCCCAGGUACCUACUGUUUUCUUGUUUUGUCAAAGUUGAGGUGAAGACCCUCGAGGCCCUGACCUGUUGAUCAAUGCAAUGCUUCGGGUUUUGAUCUUAGUGCAUUGAAUUUUUUAUAUUGUAGUAUUCCCUGCUAAAACCAGACAUUGACUGACUGAUUGGAGACAGCUUGUGUCAAUUACAGAACAUUUCCUAGGAUUUCCAACCUGCACCAACACUAGUGGACAAUGCUGGAGAUACCGGUAAAAGCACAGUGCCUCAAUAUUGCCCUAAAACUCCUGUCCUUAGUCAUCACUGAUCUGACAUGGCUGGGCUAUGUGUCUGUGUUUGUGUGAGACAGAGAGACACAACACACAAAGACUUAUAGCUUGCUUUACACACACACACUCAUCUCAUAGGAGAUCUCUCAUAUCUUCAGCCACCUGGUUGGUAUGCGUGCUGUGUCCCAGUCCUCUCUUCUCAUGUAGAGUCAUGAGCCUCCUCUCUCCUUCUGACACAUCUAAUCACUUCACUAAAUCAUAUCAAUGAGAGCCUGAGAGACUAAUACCUCUCAUCUGACACCUCACUGCCCUUAUAGACGGGUUGGUUGUUUAACAACAAAACCAAUGCUUCCGCAACUAUGAGGCAAAACAGACAGGGUUGGCUUAGGUUGUUGACAUAAAUACAUUUGCAUAAUGAGCACUAGUUGUUGUCUCAAUUACAUCAUUACAGUUGGUGAUUAGCUAGCUAGCGAAUUUUUGACAUAUUAGCAUAGACGUUACAUCAGUCAAGACACCUCAAAACAAGACAUGAUAUCAAGAACAACAUACAACUAGGUGAAAAUAGCCACCUAUGAUUCCCCACAUGGAAGCUAUUUGUCAUUUGUUGCUAGCUAUGUGGCCAUCCAGAAUCACUACACACGGACUUCUGCCUCAUUGAAGCGUGUGCAUCGUUUUCAUGACGUUGUCAGCUAACCCAUCUAUCAAUUAGUUUUCCACCUUUUUCUCUCCUUUUUUAUGACAGUGUCCUUUCUUCCCCCACGUCACUUCUUGUAUUUCUCUCUUUAAUUGUGUCCUUUUUAAUAUUUUACACCUUUCAAUCCUUUUCUCUCUCUCUUUCUUGAGUGAUGUCUUGUCUAUGACUUGUCUGUCAUCUCUGGCUCUAUUCCUCUGCAACCAUCCCUGACAAACAGCCGGAAGAUGCCAGAGACACAAACUCUACAGAAUUAUCAUUGAAGGUGUGUUUGUGUGUGUGUCCAGGGUCACAUUGCCUCUAUAAUCUAUAGUAAUCUCCUGAACAUGAUGGUCGGCAGCAGGAGAUGUAAUGCUCUUAAAGUUGAUCAGACCUUAUCUCCGUCUCACGCUGUCUCUCUCCAAUCUCUCUCUUGUCCGAUACGAUUACUAAUUCUUAGUCACCUUUGGUCUUACCUUGGAGCAGAAAUGUUCUUCCAACCAAAAGCUAUGGACUAUCUCCCAUAAGAAGCUUGUGUGUGUGUGUGUGCAUGUGACCUACAGUGAGGUCCAAAAGUAUUUUGACAGUGACACAUUUUUUUUAUUGUUUUGGCUCUGUACACCAGCACUAUUGAAAUUGUAGAAUGACUGAGGUUAAAGUGCAGACUGUCAGCUUUAAUGUGAGGAUAUUGUCAUCCAUAUCGGGUGAACCAUUUAGAAAUUACAGCACUUUUUGUACAUUGUCCACCAUUUUAGGGAACCAAAAGUAUUUGGACAUAUUCUCUUAUGUGUAUUAAAGUAGUCAAAAGUUUAGUAUUUGGUCCCAUAUUCAUAGCACACAAUGACUAUAUCAGGCUUGUGACUCAUGUAUUGCGUCAUUUUGAAGUCACUUUUAUUGUAAAUAACAAUAUAUUUCUAAACACUUCUACAUUAAUGUGGAUGCUACCAUGAUUAUGGAUAAUCCUGAAGGAAUCAUGAAUGAUGAUGAGUGAGAAAGUUACAUAGGCAUAAAUAUCAUACCCCCAAAAGUGCUAACCUCCCCUGUUAUUGGUAAUGGUGGCGCAAGGCUCUCGAAAGGGUGGCGCGGUCUGCACAACGCAUCACCGGGGGCAAACUACCUGCCCUCCAUGACACCUACAACACCCGUUGUCACAGGAAGGCCAAAAAGAUCAUCAAGGACAACAACCACCCGAGCCACUGCCUGUUCACACCGCUAUCAUCCAGAAGAGGACCUGAGCCCUAGGACCAUGCCUCAGGACUACCUGGCUUGAUGACUCCUUGCUGUCUCCAGUUCACCUGGCCGUGCUGCUGCUCCAGUUCCAACUGUUCUGCCUGCAGCUAUGGAACCCUGACCUGUUCACCGGACGUGCUACCUGUCCCAGAGAUGCUGUCCCAGACCUGCUGGAACCCUGACCUAUUCACCGGAUGUGCUACCUGUCCCAGACCUGCGGUUUUUAACUCUCUAGAGACAGCAGGAGCGGUAGAGAUACUCUCAAAGAUCGGCUAUAAAAAAGCCAACUGACACUCUUGUGUUACUGACUUGUUGCACCCUCGACAACUACUAUGAUUAUUAUUAUUUGACCAUGCUGGUCAUUUAUGACCAUUUGAACAUCUAGGCCAUGUGCUGUUAUAAUCUCCACCCGGCACAGCCAGAAGAGGACUGGCCACCCCUCAUAGCCUGGUUCCUCUCUAGGUUUCUUCCUAGGUUUUGGCCUUUCAUGGGAGUUUUUCCUAGCCACCGUGCUUCUACACCUGCAUUGCUUGCUGUUUGGGGUUUUAGGCUGGGUUUCUGUACAGCACUUUGAGAUAUCAGCUGAUGUAAGAAGGGCUAUAUAAAUACAUUUGAUUUGAUUUACUCAUCUCACAUGUAUAUACUGUACUUUAUAUAAUCUACUGCACCUUGCAUAUGCCGCUCAGCCAUCGCUCAUCCAUAUAUUUAUAGGUAAAUAUUUUCAUUCACCCCUUUAGAUUUGUGUGUAUUAGAUAGUUGGUGGGGUAUUGUUAGAUUACUUGUUAGAUUUGUGUGUAUAAGGUAGUUGUUGGGAAUUGUUAGAUAUUACUUGUUAGAUAUUACUGCACUGUUGGAACUAGAAGCACAAGCAUUUCGCUACACUCGCAUUAACGUCUGCUAACCAUGUGUAUGUGACCAAUAAAAUUUGAUUUGAUGAGGCAAUAGCUACACUUG
rnacentral:lncRNA from 1 species